ensembl:misc_RNA Y_RNA Y RNA
GGCUGGUCUGAGUGCAGUGGUGUUUACAACUAAUUGAUCACAAUCAGUUACAGAUUUCUUUGUUCCUUCUCCACGCCCACUGCUUCACUAGACUAGCCUUUA